rnacentral:rRNA from 1 species
UAAUACGAAGGGGGCUAGCGUUGCUCGGAAUGACUGGGCGUAAAGGGCGCGUAGGCGGUUUGAUCAGUUAGGUGUGAAAUUCCUGGGCUUAACCUGGGGGCUGCACUUAAUACGGUCAGACUUGAGUGUGAAAGAGGGUCGUGGAAUUCCCAGUGUAGAGGUGAAAUUCGUAGAUAUUGGGAAGAACACCGGUGGCGAAGGCGGCGACCUGGUUCAUUACUGACGCUGAGGCGCGAAAGCGUGGGGAGCAAACAGG